UCGAACGCGAAAUUUUUUCUUCGGAGAAAAGAGUAGAGUGGCGCACGGGUGAGUAACGCGUAAGUAAUCUACCCUGGCAUCUGGAAUAACUCACCGAAAGGUGUGCUAAUACCGGAUACGUUGAUUUAUCAAGAAAGGUGGCCUCUGAUAUAAGCUACUGUGCUGGGAGGAGCUUGCGUGCCAUUAGCUAGUUGGUAGGGUAAUGGCCUACCAAGGCGACGAUGGUUAGCGGGUCUGAGAGGAUGAUCCGCCACACUGGAACUGGAACACGGACCAGACUCCUACGGGAGGCAGCAGUGAGGAAUAUUGCGCAAUGGGGGCAACCCUGACGCAGCGACGCCGCGUGGAUGAUGAAGGCCUUCGGGUCGUAAAAUCCUGUCAGAUGGAAAGAAGUGUAGUAUGCCUAAUACGUGUACUAUUUGACGGUACCAUCAAAGGAAGCACCGGCUAACUCCGUGCCAGCAGCCGCGGUAAUACGGAGGGUGCAAGCGUUGUUCGGAAUUACUGGGCGUAAAGCGCGCGUAGGCGGUUUUAUAAGUCAGAUGUGAAAGUCCACGGCUCAACCAUGGAAGUGCAUUUGAAACUGUAAGACUUGAGUAUUGGAGGGGGUAG
rnacentral:rRNA from 1 species